CUUGGACACUUCGAUGAAAUCCUAGUUCAGCUGAUUAAGCUCUGAUGAAAAAUCCGAAGUCUUCCGCACCCAUCUGAUGUACCAG